rnacentral:rRNA from 2 species
AACGCGAAGAACCUUACCUACUCUUGACAUCCAGAGAACUUUCCAGAGAUGGAUUGGUGCCUUCGGGAACUCUGAGACAGGUGCUGCAUGGCUGUCGUCAGCUCGUGUUGUGAAAUGUUGGGUUAAGUCCCGCAACGAGCGCAACCCUUAUCCUUUGUUGCCAGCGGUCCGGCCGGGAACUCAAAGGAGACUGCCAGUGAUAGACUGGAGGAAGGUGGGGAUGACGUCAAGUCAUCAUGGCCCUUACGAGUAGGGCUACACACGUGCUACAAUGGCGCAUACAAAGAGAAGCAAACUCGCGAGAGCAAGCGGACCUCAUAAAGUGCGUCGUAGUCCGGAUUGGAGUCUGCAACUCGACUCCAUGAAGUCGGAAUCGCUAGUAAUCGUAGAUCAGAAUGCUACGGUGAAUACGUUCCCGGGUCUUGUACACACCG